GUCCACGCCGUAAACGAUGGGUGCUAGGUGUGGGGGGUGUCGACUCCCUCCGUGCCGAAGCUAACGCAUUAAGCACCCCGCCUGGGGAGUACGGCCGCAAGGCUAAAACUCAAAGGAAUUGACGGGGGCCCGCACAAGCAGCGGAGCAUGUGGUUUAAUUCGACGCGACGCGAAGAACCUUACCAGGGCUUGACAUGCUCGGGAAUGUCGUAGAAAUACGGCAGCCCUUCGGGGCUCGAGCACAGGUGGUGCAUGGCUGUCGU
rnacentral:rRNA from 1 species